UACGGAGGAUGCAAGCGUUAUCCGGAAUUAUUGGGCGUAAAGCGUCCGCAGGUGGCACUUCAAGUCUGCUGUCAAAGACCGGGGCUUAACCCUGGAAAGGCAGUGGAAACUGAAGCGCUAGAGUGUGGCAGGGGUAGAGGGAAUUCCCGGUGUAGCGGUGAAAUGCGUAGAGAUCGGGAAGAACAUCGGUGGCGAAGGCGGCAUCCUGGACCAACACUGACGCUGAGUGAGCGAAAGCCAGGGGAGCAAACGGG
rnacentral:rRNA from 1 species